rnacentral:rRNA from 1 species
AGGACAAACGCUGGCGGCGUGCCUAAGACAUGCAAGUCGAACGGAAGGCUUCGGCCUUGAGUGGCGGACGGGUGAGGAGCGCGUGGAGAACCUGCCCCGGGGUGGGGGAUAACAGUCGGAAACGAUUGCUAAGACCGCAUACGACCAUUCGUUGCAGGAUGAAUGGGGAAAGCAGCGAUGUGCCCUGGGAGGGCUCCGCGUCGGAUUAGCUAGUUGGUGGGGUAACGGCCUACCAAGGCUGCGAUCCGUAGCUGGUCUGAGAGGACGGCCAGCCACACUGGGACUGAGACACGGCCCAGACUCCUACGGGAGGCAGCAGUUAGGGAAUUUUGUCAAUGGGCGAAAGCCUGAACGAGUGACGCCGCGUGCGGGAUGACGCCUUUCGGGUGUAAACCGCUUUUCCCAAGGACGAGGAUGGACGGUACUUGGGGAAUAAGGUCUCGGCUAACUACGCGCCAGCAGCCGC